UACGGGGGGGGCAAGCGUUGUUCGGAAUUACUGGGCGCAAAGGGCUCGUAGGCGGCCAACUAAGUCAUACGUGAAAUCCCUCGGCUUAACCGGGGAACUGCGUCUGAUACUGGAUGGCUUGAGAUUGGGAGAGGGAUGCGGAAUUCCAGGUGUAGCGGUGAAAUGCGUAGAUAUCUGGAGGAAUACCGGUGGCGAAGGCGGCAUCCUGGACCGAGAUUGACACUGAUGAGCGAAAGCUAGGGGAGCAAACGGG
rnacentral:rRNA from 1 species